AAAGUUGAAAUCCAGCAGAUGUUUCUCACUGAUCUCUUCCUGAAGCAGCGGACUGCUGAGGCUGAGCCAGCGCUGCAGACCUGGGAAAACCAGCAACGUGUGUGGUGCUUUUGGAUGUCCCAGGCUGCUUUCUUUCCACAGGGCAUGUUCAGCAGCUGUAGAGCCCAUUCCUGUGCGCUGAGUCCUUGUGCUCAUCCUAGGAUGUGUCAUUCUGGGAUGUGUCCUUGGCCUCUGCUUCCCUGCCAGCGCCAUUUCACAUACUAUUUGGCCAGCAGAAAGUGCUUCAAACGGCUUAGCAGUCCCAGAAUGGCAACGAAAUCUGCACGUGGAUGACUGAAAGACAGAUGGAGGGGCUGGCUGUGGAUGAGAAGCACCGCUUCUGCAAGGCCCACGGCAUGUCCCCUUUCACUCGUGAAGACGUGCAGACGUGCCGUGGUGGGGCACCAAAUAAAAUCACUUGAUAGCCACGCACACGAUACUGGCGUGUACACAUCCCACACGUGAAUAGCAAAGGGCAGCACUCGGCCGCCAGCCAGCGUUUGGCCGGUGAGGUGACGUUUGAUCGAUGCGACACCGGAUCGAUAGCAAGCACGCAAGAAAACAAGCAGGAAGAAGAUGUGGUAAGGAAUGCCGGUGGGAGGACCUGGCAGACGCUCGCGGGAGUUGAUUCAGAAGGGAGAUGCAGCCCCACCUGUUCUGCUGUGAGCAAACUUGCCCUGCACCGCAGCACUGCUGUACUCGACGUGGGUUUAAUAACACAUGUCGAAACGUCAGGUGGUUCGCAGCAAGGAAUUGUGCUGGGGACGCCCGUCUCUCUGAAGGGAGAUAGCCCAAGCUGACUUACAACGAGAGCCAAGUGCCAGAGAGCUGCUGCUGAGCAGGAUAGGGAUUUUGGCCUCAUGACAAAAAUCACACCCCUGUGUGUGUGCCCAGGAAAUGAUGGGGGCCUAGAAUUCAAUGAGAUGAGAGAUAAGCAUGAGGGUAACUAACAGUCAAGACUGUUAAAAAAUUAUAAUUAACAAAUAAUCUUGCUGUACAUCAUUCCUCCCAUUGUUCUUGGCCGUAUCUGUAAAUAAAAUAAGACUGUA